GCCUGGGUGGCUCAGUCGGUUGAGCGUCCGACUUAAGCUCAGGUCACGAUCUCGAGGUCGUGAGUUCGAGCCCCGCGUUGGGCU